GUAACACGUAGUCAACCUGCCCUGGAGACAUGGACAACCCCGGGAAACUGGGAUUAAUCCGUGAUAGGUCAUCUCAUCUGGAACGAGAGAUGGCUUAAAGGGAUGCGCGGGCUUCUUCUGCGUAUUUGCUCCAGGAUGGGACUGCGUCCGAUCAGGCUGUCGGCGGGGUAAUGGCCCACCAAGCCAGUAACCGGUACGGGCCUUGAGAGAGGUGGCCCGGAGAUGGACACUGAGAGAAGGGUCCAGGUCCUACGGGGCGCAGCAGGCGCGAAACCUUCGCAAUGCGCGCAAGCGUGACGAGGUUAAUCCGAGUGAUUUCCGCUGAGGAGACCUUUUGUCUGCUGUAAAUAGGCAGGCGAAUAAGGGGAGGGCAAGCCUGGUGUCAGCCGCCGCGGUAAUACCAGCUCCUCGAGUGGUCGGGGCGAUUAUUGGGCCUAAAGCACCCGUACCCGGUUCCGUAGGUCCUCUGUUAAAUCCAACCGCCCCACGGUUGACCUUGCAGAGGAAACCGCCGAGAACU
rnacentral:rRNA from 1 species